rnacentral:sRNA from 1 species
AUCACCCGAUGGCAUCCGUUGACAACCGUUUAUCCAAGCACGGCGGCGAGAAUGCCCCUUUUCAGAGUCGUUUCACAAAGCAGGAGACAUAUGAUUGGCACAGGAUCUGCCUGAGGGCUACCGAAAUCAUGCCCAGCGUUACCCACGUGAAAGAGUGACAAUGGAUGGCCACGAAAGGAAUUACAGAACGUCGGCCUCAGAUCGUUCUGACUGCCGCUGGAUCGGGGAAAGCAUGGUUUGGAUCCUGCUGCUUUUGGCGAUGAAGAUGCACAAGCAGUCAGGUAUCCUUAUCCUAUUUGGGGUAACCAAAGCGACGCAAGACGACCAAAUCAGGAAGCUAAAACGGCUGCACUUUGAGGCCAAUUUCCUGAAUGGAGACUCUCCCCGUGAUGUUAGGCAAAAACUCGCUGAGAUGAAAGGGCAAUUAUGGGCAAUUGGAUCGGGGAUGUUGCAAAACCAUUUGGUCCAAGAAGUCCUUGGCAAAUCCGCUCUUACGGGUAAAACCCUAUCUAGGCUCGUAGACGAGGCACAUACCAUCAAAGAGGGGGGUCCGUCUUGGCGGCCGGACAUCCUCAAGCUGUGCGAGAUACGUGACAUUUUGGGGCCGAGUUCUGCACGGGGGUUGUUCUCAGCUAUCAUGAGUCGGUAACACAUUACGAUUGCGGAGGAUGCCAUGCAUUUGGGCAGAAGAUUGAUGGAUGAAUGGGAUGUAGGUCCCGAUAGAGACGAGCUCAAAUAUGAAGUCCGGCCCUUCAGAGCCAAGAUGGACACAUACGCAGACUUGGGAAUCAUAUCGCAAGAAAUUUACUUCCUCUGGCCCAAGCCACUGACCACGACACCCACUGCAAUUCCACAGGAUCUCUCACUCUCUUCGCUCAGUUGUAAUUUCUCAUCAUUUCCGCCCACCACUUCUCAUACGGCAUCUCCUAUGACAACAUCCACCAGUGGCAGAAAGGAGGUAGUAGCCCAACGGAAGGAAACGGGAGAUAAAUUCGUUACUGUAUUACGCCCGUUGGACCACGUCACAGCCCUCGUCUUCAACGAGACGAAGAGAGGAGGAAGGAGCUGAGCAAAAGGACAAUGCGUCUGAGUCUUUGGUUCCCAGAACAAUCGCGUUUUUUGCGACAAAGCAACAGGGUUUGGAUACUCAGGAUGCUUUGAGGUCGAUUUGACCGGAGAAUCCUCAUCAGGUUGAUACUUUCUACGGUUCUACCUCCCCAGUGCAGCGUUUAAAUCUCCUGGACAAGUUCAAGAAAGGCGCUGUUCGAGUACUCUGCUGUACAAAAGCUUUUGGACUAGGCUGCGACAUCUCAAAUAUCGAAUACUCGAUCAUAUACAACUGUGUGGAUUCGAUGGUUGAUCUUUGGCAGAAAGGUGGAAGAGCAGCCAGAGGUCGGCGAGUGACGGGGAGAGUCAUUUGGCUUGCACCACUUGAUGUCUUUGGGCCGUCGGAUGAAUGGGAGAAGAAGUCGGGGGAUUCGCAUCCUAUAUCCCUAAGCCCAUUCCCUACACGAAUAAAGCUUUCAGAGCCGUCAUCGCCUUCGAGCAAAGUGUCGUUAUCUAUACGAACUUGCUAAUCCUCCAGUAGUUGAGUCACGCUCCUUUUAUUAUCCUUAUCACCCAUCCAUCGACUCCCAAACCAACUGCGGCUUCUUUACUUCCCCCCUCUACCACCAUCUCUCCGACUCCUUUCCCAUCUCCCACCAAUCCGUCCAUCGCCCCUCUCACAUCUAAGCCCCUCCCCCCCC